GCCGGGUGUACUGGCUCACGCCUGUAAUCCCAGCACCUUGGGAGGCUGAGGCGGGUGGAUCAUUUGAGGUCAGGAGUUCGAGACCAGCCUGGCCAACAUGGUGAAACCCCGCCUCUA
rnacentral:SRP_RNA from 2 species